rnacentral:rRNA from 1 species
UGCACUGGUUGUGAACUCGAAGAGUUGGGAGGGACACGUGGUAUCCUGUAUGAAUAUGGGGGGACCAUCCUCCAAGGCUAAAUACUCCUGACUGACCGAUAGUGAAACAGUACCGUGAGGGAAAGGCGAAAAGAACCCCGGCGAGGGGAGUGAAAAAGAACCUGAAACCGAGUACGUACAAGCAGUGGGAGCACCUUCGGGUGUGACUGCGUACCUGUUGUAUAAUGGGUCAGCGACUGAUAUUCUGUCGCACGG